UCUUAUCAUUAUCUCUAUUUGGCCUCUCGAACUCACAGUCAAACCUCACAGCUGAACUCGUCCCAGUCUUCGUCGGAAAAAAAUUCCCAACCGUAAGAAAGAAGAAGAUCAUACCACUAAUUAAACCCUCAAACCCUAACUGCGGUAUUUCUCUCAGUUGAAUCAGUGUGAAGGUUCCAAUGGUUCUGAAUCCUGAAAUCUAUUGAAUCGAUACAUCGUUUUAAUGAUUCGUCCGACUCAUUGGUCUUGAAAACUGAAGAAGGCGGAGGAAGGAAUAUCUUUUGCCGAUCUUAUGGAAUUCGUUGGUGAUUGUGUUCCUUUUUAGCAUCAGUCCAAUUAAUCCAGAGAGCUCAAAUUUCUAACCGAAGAAGAGGUCAAGUUCACGAAUCUGGGGAAUAGAUUUUCAUUAUCAUGAUUUAUUGUUAUAUUAUUUUUUGCCUGAGUUCGAAUUGUUAUGUGUUUUGACUAGUAUUUUUGGUAUACAUCUUUUUCUUUUUUUUUGGUUGUUUGAAUUUGUAGCAGAAAAAGGACGAAGGGUUAGAUGACUGAAUUUUUAAUGUACAAAAGAGAUUUAAGUUCCCUGAGGUUAACAACAAAGGAUUUUUAUGAGGAUCCGAUUGAGGAGUUGAGCAAGUAUGGGGAAAUUGAUAUUUUAUUAAGACAUUUGAGAUCAUGGGCUGAUCAUAUGGUGCAUGGAUGGAGAUCUGCCUAGUUUUGAAGGAUAUACUAUCUUGGAGGCUCUGUGGAAUACUGACACAGAGUUCAAUAUAUUUUACAAGGGAAGGAUAUAUUGUCUUCGAAACUCGACUCUUAUAUGCCUACCACUGGCUUUAUAUCGUUGCUUGGGCUGUAUGGUUGAGCUAUUAAACUUGAUUCGAACCUGAUAAUGAUCCUCCUCACAA